rnacentral:miRNA from 1 species
GAAAAAAAAAAAAAACAACA